GGGUUUGUAGCUCAGUGGUAGAGCACUCGCCUACCACGUGUGAGGCCCUGCGUUCGAUCCUCAGCACCA
rfam:Ictidomys tridecemlineatus contig082750, whole genome shotgun sequence.